rnacentral:lncRNA from 1 species
UUGAACAACCUUACAACUUGCUUGACUUGCUUAACUUCUAAGCUUAACUCUUAACUUCUAACUUCACUUGACUUCUAACUAACUCUCCUUGAAUUGGAAUUUUGGAUUCAAGGUGUUUGAUCACAUGUUACGGAUGAGUUCUUGACUUUUAGAAGUACCUUGGAGUGUUGGAAACAACUAGGAAACAUAGGUAUAAUACCUAGGAACAUGUAUGAAAAAGUGGGGAAUUAAGGUAACGGGAAGGAUUGGCGUCCUUGGCGCUCUAAAGGUAACGGGAAGGAUUGGCGUCCUUGGCACUCUAAGAGGCG